GAUGAACGCUGGCGGCGUGCCUAAUACAUGCAAGUCGAGCGAACAGACGAGAAGCUUGCUUCUCUGAUGUUAGCGGCGGACGGGUGAGUAACACGUGGAUAACCUACCUAUAAGACUGGGAUAACUUCGGGAAACCGGAGCUAAUACCGGAUGAUAUUUUGAACCGCAUGGUUCAAAAGUGAAAGACGGUCUUGCUGUCACUUAUAGAUGGAUCCGCGCUGCAUUAGCUAGUUGGUAAGGUAACGGCUUGCCAAGGCAACGAUGCAUAGCCGACCUGAGAGGGUGAUCGGCCACACUGGAACUGAGACACGGUCCAGACUCCUACGGGAGGCAGCAGUAGGGAAUCUUCCGCAAUGGGCGAAAGCCUGACGGAGCAACGCCGCGUGAGUGAUGAAGGUAUUCGGAUCGUAAAACUCUGUUAUUAGGGAAGAACAUAUGUGUAAGUAACUGUGCACAUCUUGACGGUACCUAAUCAGAAAGCCACGGCUAACUACGUG
rnacentral:rRNA from 1 species